rnacentral:tRNA from 1 species
GAGCAAUUAGUUUAAGUUAAAACACUUGAUUUCGACUCAAGAACUUCUGGUUAAAAUCCAUAACUGCUCU